CAGUAGCCGCUGUAAUACGUAGGGUGCGAGCGUUAAUCGGAAUUACUGGGCGUAAAGCGGGCGCAGACGGUUACUUAUGCAGGAUGUGAAAUCCCCGGGCUCAACCUGGGAAUUGCGUUCUGAACUGGGUGGCUAGAGUGUGUCAGAGGGGGGUAGAAUUCCACGUGUAGCAGUGAAAUGCGUAGAGAUGUGGAGGAAUACCGAUGGCGAAGGCAGCCCCCUGGGAUAGCACUGACGCUCAUGCCCGAAAGCGUGGGUAGCAAACAGGAUUAGAUACCCCCGUAGUCCCUGUCUCUUAUAC
rnacentral:rRNA from 1 species